CCAGGAUGUACGACGGCAUGUUUCAAGGAUAACAAUACGUCAGCGACGCCCUCGCCAUUACCAUUGUUUGUCCUUGGUACGCAAUCGCCCCUUGGACAUCCCCAACUGCAAAAACGCUUUUUAAAAUUAUAAGCAGUCUGAUUGGAAAAUAAAAAAAAUUUAUGGAGACACGCGUAACAAACAAACAAACAAACGAACGAACGAACAAUCAAACACAUACUCGUACGUAUACAGAAUAUUUAUAUAUCUAUACAUAAGAUAUAUGAAAUUACUUACUUGUAUGUACCCGAACAAGGACUGAACAAACCAGGCAAUGGAUCCAAAUCCAAUGGUGGAAAACCUGCCAUAUCGUCGACCCAAAAACCACUACCAAAUUCACCACCAACCACUUGGCCUUGGCCUGAAUUCGUUUGAAUUUGUUGAGUUUGAUCUGGCCCCGUAAUAUCCUCCGUGGAGGCUUGUAAAUCUUGCAAACGUAAUGUACCUUGCAAUGCACUUAACGUUUCUUCAUUUUGAUUGUCGGUCAAGGUAUCGUCGUUUGUAAGAACACCCAACGAACCGGUACAAAGCCCAGAUGGUAUGGUUGCUUCGAUUGUACCCACCGAUCCUAUGAAUUAUAAAUAUAUAUAUAUAUAUGUACUGUGUAUAUAUAUAUAUUUAUAUGUUUAUAAAUAUAUAUAUAUAUAUAUGUAAAUAAAAUAAUUUUUUAAAAUUU